GAUGAACGCUGGCGGCGUGCCUAAUACAUGCCAGUCGAGCGAACAGACGAGGAGCUUGCUCCUCUGACGUUAGCGGCGGACGGGUGAGUAACACGUGGAUAACCUACCUAUAAGACUGGGAUAACUUCGGGAAACCGGAGCUAAUACCGGAUAAUAUAUUGAACCGCAUGGUUCAAUAGUGAAAGACGGUUUUGCUGUCACUUAUAGAUGGAUCCGCGCCGCAUUAGCUAGUUGGUAAGGUAACGGCUUACCAAGGCAACGAUGCGUAGCCGACCUGAGAGGGUGAGAGGCCACACGGGAACUGAGACACGGCCCAGACCCCUGCGGGAGGAAGCAGGAGGGAUUCUUCCGAAAGGGGCGAAAGCUUGAGGGAGCACCGCGGCGUGAGGGAGAAAGGUCUUGGGAUCGAAAAACUCUGUUAUUGGGGAAAAAAAAAUGUGAAAUUAACUAGGCACGUCUGGACGGUACCUAAUCAGAAAGCCACGGAAAACUACGUC
rnacentral:rRNA from 1 species